UACGAAGGGGGCUAGCGUUGUUCGGAUUUACUGGGCGUAAAGCGCACGUAGGCGGAUCGGUUAAGUCGGGGGUGAAAUCCUGGAGCUCAACUCCAGAACUGCCUUCGAUACUGGCGAUCUCGAGUCCGGAAGAGGUGAGUGGAACUCCUAGUGUAGAGGUGGAAUUCGUAGAUAUUAGGAAGAACACCAGUGGCGAAGGCGGCUUACUGGUCCGGUUCUGACGCUGAGGC
rnacentral:rRNA from 1 species